CAGAAGUGCGAAUGCUGACAUGAGUAACGAUAAGGGGGGUGAAAAACCCCCCCGCCGAAAGAUCAAGGUUUCCUGUCCAACGUUAAUCGGGACAGGGUGAGUCGGCACCUAAGGCGAGGGCGAAGGCCGUAGUCGAUGGAAAAUCGGUUAAAAUUCCGAUACCGAUUCUUACUGCGAUGGAGGGACGGAGCAGGCUAGGCUAGCACGGCGUUGGUAGUCCGUGUUUAAGCGUGUAGGUAGGGGGAUUAGGUAAAUCCGGUUCCUCGUUAAUCUGAGACGUGAUGACGAUCUCUUGGGGCGACCCUUGAGAGAAGUAGUUGAUGCCAUACUUCCAGGAAAAUCUUCUAAGCUUCAGGUAAGAAUUGACCGUACUGUAAACCGACACAGGUGAUCAGGUAGAGAAUACUAAGGCGAUCGAGAGAAUCAUGGUUAAGGAACUCGGCAAAAUGCCCCCGUAACUU
rnacentral:rRNA from 1 species